GCAGACAUUGCCAUCGCCAUCAUGGCGCCCGGCGUGUUUGGAGUUCGGACAGAUCAGACUCUUCGUUGGCCUCGUUUUUAGGUGUUUGAUCCGUGACGUUUCGUCGAAAAAUCACAAGCGCGCAUGCCGUAGGUGUUUGCCUGGUUGCAAGAUCUUGCCGAUUUCAACGUUUUUCCACCUCUUCGGUUGGCGUACGCUGAGCUGGACCCUCGCAGCAAGAAUGGCACGUGGGAAUUGACACCGCGAUCGUGGAACACAUGGCUGAUCUGCCUCGAAUAACUGCAAGCCGGCGCGUGCGUAGUGCCGUGGAGAACGAUCAGAAGUCCUGGACGACAAAGAAAAAAACUUCAAAGCUGGUUCUAGUAGUGGUGCCCCUGGUGUGCACCUUUACCCCAAAUGUCUGCACCUUUGCCUACCGCUGCCUCUGCGAACCCCGCUCCUGGACAACAGCUGGGAGGCUCUGUGUUUAA